GACGAACCGUGCAAACGUUGUUCGGAAUCACUGGGCUUUAAGGGCGCGUAGGCGGAUGAGCAAGUCUGUGGUGAAAUCCCCCGGCUUAACCGGGGAACUGCCGUGGAUACUGCCCAUCUCGAGGAAGAUAGGGGCGUCUGGAACUAGCGGUGGAGCGGUGAAAUGCGUUGAUAUCGCUAGGAACUCCGGUGGCGAAGGCGAGACGCUGGAUCUUUUCUGACGCUGAGGCGCGAAAGCCAGGGGAGCGAACGGG
rnacentral:rRNA from 1 species